rnacentral:rRNA from 1 species
UGGGGAAUUUUGGACAAUGGGCGCAAGCCUGAUCCAGCCAUGCCGCGUGUAUGAAGAAGGCCUUCGGGUUGUAAAGUACUUUUGUCAGGGAAGAAAAGCCUGGGGAUAACACCCUCAGGUCAUGACGGUACCUGAAGAAUAAGCACCGGCUAACUACGUGCCAGCAGCCGCGGUAAUACGUAGGGUGCGAGCGUUAAUCGGAAUUACUGGGCGUAAAGCGAGCGCAGACGGUUAUUUAAGCAAGAUGUGAAAGCCCCGGGCUCAACCUGGGAACUGCGUUUUGAACUGGGUAACUAGAGUGUGUCAGAGGGGGGUAGAAUUCCACGUGUAGCAGUGAAAUGCGUAGAGAUGUGGAGGAAUACCGAUGGCGAAGGCAGCCCCCUGGGAUAACACUGACGUU